GAUAGGUCUCUGUCUCUAGCGUGAUUGGACACUGACACAGAGUCAACUAGCCUUGGGCGCGCGGUUCUUCGCGCGCAGAACCGGGACGGUCCGAGCCACGAGGGGGGAGGCUCGGACCGUCCGCA
rnacentral:ncRNA from 1 species